UCUCUAUGAUGAUGAACAUCAAUUAAGAGUCUGAUGUAAUCUAUUAUACUAAAUCAUGUGGAAUAUUGAGGCAUUUGUUUGGGAGAA